GAUGAACGCUGGUGGCGUGCCUAACACAUGCAAGUCGAGCGAUUCUCUUCGGAGAAGAGCGGCGGACGGGUGAGUAACGCGUGGGUAACCUGCCCUGUACACACGGAUAACAUACCGAAAGGUAUGCUAAUACGAGAUAACAUGCUUUUAUCGCAUGGUAGAAGUAUCAAAGCUUUUGCGGUACAGGAUGGACCCGCGUCUGAUUAGCUAGUUGGUGAGGUAACGGCUCACCAAGGCGACGAUCAGUAGCCGACCUGAGAGGGUGAUCGGCCACAUUGGAACUGAGACACGGUCCAAACUCCUACGGGAGGCAGCAGUGGGGAAUAUUGCACAAUGGGCGAAAGCCUGAUGCAGCAACGCCGCGUGAGCGAUGAAGGCCUUCGGGUCGUAAAGCUCUGUCCUCAAGGAAGAUAAUGACGGUACUUGAGGACGAAGCCCCGGCUAACUACGUG
rnacentral:rRNA from 1 species